GACGAACGCUGGCGGCGUGCCUAAUACAUGCAAGUAGAACGCUGAAGGAGGAGCUUGCUUCUCUGGAUGAGUUGCGAACGGGUGAGUAACGCGUAGGUAACCUGCCUGGUAGCGGGGGAUAACUAUUGGAAACGAUAGCUAAUACCGCAUAAGAGUAGAUGUUGCAUGACAUUUGCUUAAAAGGUGCAAUUGCAUCACUACCAGAUGGACCUGCGUUGUAUUAGCUAGUUGGUGGGGUAACGGCUCACCAAGGCGACGAUACAUAGCCGACCUGAGAGGGUGAUCGGCCACACUGGGACUGAGACACGGCCCAGACUCCUCCGGGAGGCAGCAGUAGGGAAUCUUCGGCAAUGGACGGAAGUCUGACCGAGCAACGCCGCGUGAGUGAAGAAGGUUUUCGGAUCGUAAAGCUCUGUUGUAAGAGAAGAACGAGUGUGAGAGUGGAAAGUUCACACUGUGACGGUAUCUUACCAGAAAGAGACGGCUAACUACGUG
rnacentral:rRNA from 1 species